UACCGUGAGGGAAAGGCGAAAAGAACCCCGGCGAGGGGAGUGAAAAAGAACCUGAAACCGUGUACGUACAAGCAGUGGGAGCCUCUUCAUGGGGUGACUGCGUACCUUUUGUAUAAUGGGUCAGCGACUUAUAUUCUGUAGCAAGGUUAACCGAAUAGGGGAGCCGAAGGGAAACCGAGUCUUAACUGGGCGUUAAGUUGCAGGGUAUAGACCCGAAACCCGGUGAUCUAGCCAUGGGCAGGUUGAAGGUUGGGUAACACUAACUGGAGGACCGAACCGACUAAUGUUGAAAAAUUAGCGGAUGACUUGUGGCUGGGGGUGAAAGGCCAAUCAAACCGGGAGAUAGCUGGUUCUCCCCGAAAGCUAUUUAGGUAGCGCCUCGUGAAUUCAUCUCCGGGGGUAGAGCACUGUUUCGGCAAGGGGGUCAUCCCGACUUACCAACCCGAUGCAAACUGCGAAUACCGGAGAAUGUUAUCACGGGAGACACACGGCGGGUGCUAACGUCCGUCGUGAAGAGGGAAACAACCCAGACCGCCAGCUAAGGUCCCAAAGUCAUGGUUAAGUGGGAAACGAUGUGGGAAGGCCCAGACAGCCAGGAUGUUGGCUUAGAAGCAGCCAUCAUUUAAAGAAAGCGUAAUAGCUCACUGGUCGAGUCGGCCUGCGCGGAAGAUGUAACGGGGCUAAACCAUGCACCGAAGCUGCGGCAGCGACACUAUGUGUUGUUGGGUAGGGGAGCG
rnacentral:rRNA from 1 species